GGGUUGUCAUGCCAAUGGCACUGCCCGGUAGCUAAAUGCGGAAGAGAUAAGUGCUGAAAGCAUCUAAGCACGAAACUUGCCCCGAGAUGAGUUCUCCCUGAGACUUUAAGUCUCCUGAAGGAACGUUAAAGACGAUGACGUUGAUAGGCCGGGUGUGUAAGCGCAGCGAUGCGUUGAGCUAACCGGUACUAAUGAACCGUGAGGCUUAACCUU
rnacentral:rRNA from 9 species